GACGAACGCUGGCGGCGUGCUUAACACAUGCAAGUCGAACGGAAAGGCCCUGCUUUUGUGGGGUUCUCGAGUGGCGAACGGGUGAGUAACACGUGAGUAACCUGCCCUUGACUUUGGGAUAACUUCAGGAAACUGGGGCUAAUACCGGAUAGGAUCUCCUGCUGCAUGUUGGGGGUUGGAAAGUUUCGGCGUUUGGGGAUGGACUCGCGGCUUAUCAGCUUGUUGGUGGGGUAGUGGCUUACCAAGGCUUUGACGGGUAGCCGGCCUGAGAGGGUGACCGGCCACAUUGGGACUGAGAUACGGCCCAGACUCCUACGGGAGGCAGCAGUGGGGAAUAUUGCACAAUGGGCGGAAGCCUGAUGCAGCAACGCCGCGUGCGGGAUGACGGCCUUCGGGUUGUAAACCGCUUUCGCCUGUGACGAAGCGUGAGUGACGGUAAUGGGUAAAGAAGCACCGGCUAACUACGUG
rnacentral:rRNA from 1 species